CAGCCGCCGCGGUAAUACGGAGGGUGCAAGCGUUACUCGGAAUUACUGGGCGUAAAGCGUGCGUAGGCGGUUUGUUAAGUCCGUUGUGAAAGCCCUGGGCUCAACCUGGGAAUUGCAGUGGAUACUGGCAAGCUAGAGUACGGUAGAGGAUGGUGGAAUUCCCGGUGUAGCGGUGAAAUGCGUAGAGAUCGGGAGGAACACCCGUGGCGAAGGCGGCCAUCUGGACCAGUACUGACGCUGAGGCACGAAAGCGUGGGGAGCAAACAGGAUUAGAUACCCCCGUAGUCCCUGUCUCUUAUAC
rnacentral:rRNA from 1 species